GACGAACGCUGGCGGCGUGCUUAACACAUGCAAGUCGAACGGAAAGGCCCUGCUUUUGUGGGGUGCUCGAGUGGCGAACGGGUGAGUAACACGUGAGUAACCUGCCCUUGACUUUGGGAUAACUUCAGGAAACUGGGGCUAAUACCGGAUAGGAGCUCCUGCUGCAUGGUGGGGGUUGGAAAGUUUCGGCGGUUGGGGAUGGACUCGCGGCUUAUCAGCUUGUUGGUGGGGUAGUGGCUUACCAAGGCUUUGACGGGUAGCCGGCCUGAGAGGGUGACCGGCCACAUGGGGAGUGAGAUACGGCCCAGACUCCUACGGGAGGCAGGAGUGGGGAAUAGUGCACAGUGGGCGGAAGCGUGAUGCAGCAGCGGCGCGUGGGGGAUGACGGCCUGCGGGGUGAACCGCUUUCGCCUGUGACGAAGCGUGAGUGACGGUAAUGGGUAAAGAAGCACCGGCUAACUACGUG
rnacentral:rRNA from 1 species